UACAGGGGGCGCAAACGUUGCUCGGAAUUAUUGGGCGUAAAGCGCGCGUAGGCGGCUACUUAAGUCGGAUGUGAAAGCCCUUGGCUCAACUGAGGAAGUGCACCCGAAACUGAGUGGCUAGAGUACGAAAGAGGGUCGCGGAAUUCCCGGUGUAGAGGUGAAAUUCGUAGAUAUCGGGAGGAACACCGGUGGCGAAGGCGGCGACCUGGGUCGAUACUGACGCUGAUGCGCGAAAGCGUGGGGAGCAAACAGG
rnacentral:rRNA from 1 species